UCAGACCUGUUCCAGUCACAAGAGAGGACAUCUGCUUCACCCAGCUAGUUCUUAACCUGGGGAUCUAUUGUCUAAACACACGGCAUUUGUUUCCUGUCUUACACACCGCUUUUCAUCCAUCUUCUAGACAGAAGUUCACUGGGACUAGCAGAUAGCUGGUGCAGUUACUUUAUUCUGGCUGGACACCAGGUGCUCACCAAAGCCAUUCCAUGCCCUCCGUAGAUGUACAAAGGAGAGAAAAUAUAACAAAAGUCUUGUGGAUACAGAGGAAUGGAAUAUGAAUAGGAAGAGGGACUGGAGGAAGGUUGACUCUCUCCUCUGAUGUGUGUUCUGCUCAAAGACAUCUUGUUCCCUAGUCGGUGUCCUCUGAUGCUUCCUCAGGGUGAUAGUCCAUUCAUCUUCUGAUGAAUUGCUCUUAUGAAGAAUCCCCCAGAGCAAACGGUGCUGUCAUUGAUCUGCUGUAUGCUGCCUCUUACACGCUAUUUCACAGUGAUGUAAUCUAGUGCAUACCUUCUUCCAGUUUAUGGCUUGUGCUCUUUUCCACACAAUCUGCAGUCCCAGAUGCUGCUCUUGUAGUACUCCAAUUAUAGCUUCAUCAAGCAUCUUUCUUUGCUCUGUUUUGGAUUCUCAAUUAUGUCCUCUCCUUUUUUCUGAACUGGGCACCUGGUUAGUUUGACAAACUCUAAGUACUUUGUCAAGAGUUAUUCCAUGAUGUUCUGAUGAUUUUUUCCAGAUCCAGUUACAAUCCCCUUUGUAAUCAGACUCUUGCUUCAUUAAAUUGUGAAGUUUUCUCUUCAGGUACAGACUUUAAAGGUUAUGAAUUUCACCUUCUUUUUUAAUACAGCCUUCUUUAAAAUAUUUAAAAAAAAAAAAAAGUAUUUCAGACUAAAAUAGGCUGAACACUUUCACAGCUAAUUCUGACUGCCUAAGUAACUGGAAACCAAAGGAACCUCUCAGGACUUCAGUACAACCUAUUGUAUGACAGCUAUUAUCCUUUAACUGCCUUCCCUUUUGUAAGCAGAUAAAGAGUAUGGGGUCAUUCACAUCUUCUGCUAUCCCCCACUCAUCCAAAGUUUGUCUGCUGUGAAAUUCUUCAUUGCUUCAUUAUUCCACUUGAGAUGCUUUCUUCCUUCGUUUUUAUUUUCAGCAUCAUCAGUUACGUCCUGGUGAUUAAUUUGUGUACAAGAAACUGACCUGGUAUCUUGCCCGCUUCCCAUUGCUGUUGACAGCUGCAUCACUUCCAGGGCUCUCUACCAGAUUGAUCGUCUGGGACCCGAAGCCUUUACACGCCCUGUGGCUUUCCGGUGCAGUGGUUCACAAGAGCCACACUGACAAGGCUGACACCUUGAAGGAGUUUCUAAGGCACAGAGGUUGCUUUCCUGCCUCAGGGGAUUAUAGCGCCUGAAGCCAUAUUAACUGUUGAACAGAUUUCCCCCUCAGAUACUAAGGUUUCUCACAGCCGCUGGAUUUGUCUUCUGCCCAAACCUCACAGAAUAAGUUUCCCAAACGGGGAAACAUUCCUCUUUCUCAAAGGUCAGUUUUCCUACAGUGAAAGACAUUUCUCUUCUUCUUUCUAAACUCUCAGAAGAACUAGAUCUAGGCAAUCCUUCCCAUCAUUUCCUGGGUGUGCAAGCCACAUUGCACAAGUUUCGUAAAUCUAACAGUUCUUGGAAGGAGUGGAUCUGUUACAUGUGCAUGGGGUCUGCACACAUCCAGUAAACCUCCUGCUCUCAACAUGCACAGGACUUAGAACAUCUGGUCCUAGAUCAGUGGUGCAGUAAUAAAUAAGAAAGACAAAUAAACUCACACCUUUGGUAUAAAAGAGAAGCAGGCAAACACCAAAAUAGAUACCUCAAAGUGGGAAAAUAUCACUUCCCUCUGUUUGUCUUUGACUACAUCUUUAUCAUACACUUCAUGGAAAUCCCAGGC